AUUGAACGCUGGCGGCAGGCCUAACACAUGCAAGUCGAACGAGUGGCGGACGGGUGAGUAAUGUCUGGGAAACUGCCCGAUGGAGGGGGAUAACUACUGGAAACGGUAGCUAAUACCGCAUACCAUCGGAUGUGCCCAGCUGGGAUUAGCUAGUAGGUGGGGUAAAGGCUAACCUAGGCGACGAUCCCUAGCUGGUCUGAGAGGAUGACCAGCCACUCGGGAACGUGGACACGGUCCAGCCUCCUACGGGGGGCAGCAGUGGGGAAUUUUGGACAAUGGGCGCAAGCCUGCUGCGCCCAUGCCGCGGGUAUGAGGAAGGCCUUCGGGUUUUAAAGUACUUUCAGCGGGGAGGCGUUACCCGCAGAAGAAGCACCGGCUAACUCCGUGCCAGCAGCCGCGGUAAUAC
rnacentral:rRNA from 1 species